CUAAAAGUAAUCCUAAUUGAUGUGUAUGAGACAGCAAAUAGUAGCACCUCUUGGAGAAAUUGAAAUAGUCUUUAUUAUUAAUAAGCAAAAAAAAAUAAAUGCAGCUAAACAACUCUUCAUCUAAAUUUCGGAGUCGGUGAACUCGGAAUACUACAAAAACUUUCCUUGCAUGGCUGAUUAUGUAACGCAUUGGAUGAAGUCAAGAGGCCAACGCACUAUGCGGACUCAAACAUUGCAAUUCCCCUUUCAGCGAGAUGUCUUGCAACUUGUAAAAAUGUUUAAUUUCUAUUAAUGUUGUUUAUAAUCUUUCUUUUUCUUUUGAAUGUGUUUUGAUUAACUUUUUUAUUUUUCUCUUCAUUGCUUUAUUUCAUAGAUUUCUGUUUUUAUUACAGAGAAGAAAGACGAUUGAUAUGUAAAGCCAUGCAAAUGACGUGCAAAGGCGAGGUGAGUUGAAAAAAAAUUGAACUAUAGCGCUUAAAAAUUGAUAAUUUCUAUUAAAGUGAGAAUAUUUAUGUCCUUUUAUUGGCAUGCUUUUUGAAAUAGUUUGGAUUAACUCUUUAUUUCGAUCUAUAAUGUGCUGUUAUGUGUUUUAUUGUAAAUUUGCUCAACAAAGAAUGCUUUAGUUGAUGCGAUGCUAAAUUGCAAAGAGUAACCACUAUUAUUUACACCAUUCUUCAUAAUUUCUAUUAAGGUGAGAAUAUUUAUGUCCUUUUAUUUGCAUGUUUUUUUGAAAUAGUUUGGAUUAACUCUUAUUUCAAUCUAUAAUGUGUUGUUAUGUGUUUUGUUGUAAAUUUUUUCAACAAAGAAUGUUUAAGUUGAUGUGAUGCUGAAUUACAAAAAGUAACCACUAUUAUUUUCACCAUUCUUCAUAAUUUCUAUUAAGGUGAGAAUAUUUAUGUCCUUCUAUUUGUAUGUUUUUUGAAAUAGUUUGGAUUAACUCUUUUUUCGAUCUAUAAUGUGUUAUGUGUUUUGUUGUAAAUUUGCUCAACAAAGAAUGUUUUAGUUGAUGUGAUGCUGAAUUGCAAAGAGUAACCACUAUUAUUUACACCAUUCUUCAUAAUUUCUAUUAAGGUGAGAAUAUUUAUGUCCUUCUAUUUGCAUGCUUUUUGAAAUAGUUUGGAUUAGCUCUUUAUUUUGAUAUAUAGUUGAUUUGAUGCUGAGUUUGCAAAGGUGAACCACUAUUAUUUACACAAUUCUUCAUCAUUUCUUUUUUCAUUUGAUUCAUAAGGCUCGAUAUGAGCUAGCUAGCAUAUAAAUUGAACACAUUCUCAUUCUCUCUUAACACUUACUCUCACUCUUAUUCUCUCUUAACAAUCACUCUUGUGCUCUACUCUAUAUUAUAUUUCAAUUUUCACUCCACUUAUUUAACCACUAUCUUCCUUAAAAACAAUGACUAGUAAUCAAAAUUUUAUUAUCAUAAUUUUGGUUGUGGUUCUUCUAUUUUCAAUAGGUUUGUAGACAAUUUGCAUAAUAUAAUUUGAAUCUUCUAUGUAUUACUUCUCUUAUGCAUAUUAUAUAUUUAUUAAACUAAUAUUUGUCUUCUCAAUAGGUAUGGCUAAAAUUGUUCUUCUAAUAGAUAAGUGUUUUUCCAGUUGUGCACAAAUCGGGAAUUGUAAAUCAUUUUGCAUUCAUCAAGGCUAUUUGCAAUGGGAAUGUCGUCCAAAGGCAAAUAAUCUUUUAACUUGCUGCUAUUACAAAUUUUGAUGAUAAGCAACCUGCUGAUGAUGUGCCAGUCUUGUAGAAAUUGAAUUGCACGAUUGCAAACCUGCUCACUUUGUUAAUUUACAUGAUUCCAUAACUUGUUGUUAUGACAUUUACAAAUUAUCCAAAUAAUCGACGCCAAGAGGGCAACAUGUUGCUAUUAAUUUCUAUUAAUGUUGUUUAGAAUAUUUCUUUUGAUUGGUGGUUUCUUUCUUGC
rnacentral:lncRNA from 1 species